rnacentral:snoRNA from 1 species
AACCUUUGUGAUUCAUAAGUAUGAUGUUUGGGUGUUCACACCAUUGUAUGAGCUAUUCCUCCCUUAAAUCUUGUUAGGCUGUGGUUAUAUUACUGGUCUGUUG